GCAAUAGCUUUCGAAACCAAGAAAGCUUCUUUCUAGUUCAGCUGUACCACAUAAUUUAUUGUCAUUCCAACUUACUUUAGGAACGUAUUGUGAGACAAAUAGGAAAAAAAACAGGGAAAUGGUAUCCCAAAUGAGUCUGGUUAACUUGGUUGCACAUCGUACUAGUUGUCAUGGGAUGGAAAGCUGCAGCGUUAAGACAGUUCCAUCAUUCAGCCAGGAAAAGGAAGUAAGUAUACAAUUCUAAUAACUAUUAUCAUCUUAUUACCCCUAGGAAUGCCUGCGUUCUGCUGUUGCUGCUAACAAGGAAAAUGCAUACCUGGUUGCCGACGGCAUGAUUACAGCCGAAGAAGCCGCAUCCGCGGAAGCAGCAAUAACAAAAAGUGAUCUCCUACCUCAAACAAAAAAGAAAAAGCUAGGAUCAAGCGCAAAAUUGUUGACAGAAGUUGUUUCCAAUUUGGAAGAUUUUAAGUCAUUAGAGAUGAAAAAAAUGGAAAUGUUUGAAAGGAGGCAGAAAGAGCGGGAUGAACAAACAGCUAAAAGAGACUUGUACAUACGGGAAACGGAGGCCCAAAAAAUCAAAAUAGCAAGUUCUUUAGUGGACGUGUUAAGUUCCCUCGUUCGCAAAAAAAACAAAAAAACAAAAAAUAGAAAAAGGUUUCCAUCUUCUUCCAGCUCAGAAUCAUCUUGAAUGAUGUUACAAUACAGCUGUUACCUGUAAAGAACACUACAGAAAAAUUAGUGAAAACAUACCAAGACAAAUAACACCCAUCUACUGACACUAAUUGUAUUUUCCUCUCUGAUAGAUGCUCAAUACAAGCUAUUUGAAUAAUCACUAAAAA
rnacentral:lncRNA from 1 species